AGAAUCGUAUGUCUAACUUUCACUAAAAAUUUCAUUUUAAUGAGAUUUACUUGUAACCCUCGUUAAAAGUAAUUUUUAGUGUAAACUUAGUUUUGAUCCUCGCAAAUUGUUCUUUAUACAUGAAAUAAAUUUUCUACAACUAAAAACGGCACCCCGACCUCCCUAAAAACGCCACAAAAAACGCACACCAAAACACCUCACUCUCUAGGCGGCUACCUGCCAGCCUUUGCUUCUGUCUUCACGUAACCUUAGGUACCAACCUUCCUACCUCUCCGAUGGCAACCACUGAGAAAACUUAUCACCAUCACCACCACCACUAUAGCCUCCGUCGCUAAUACAUCGGCAGAUCCAAGCUCUAAGAAUACCAUGUACCGCGCCCGCCUUUCACGAGUCAGUCCGAUCCUCGUAGCACUGAUACUCCUGCUUCAGAGGUAUCUCGAAAGGAUAGCGAAAGUUCGAAGACACCGGGACUACUGUGGGCUCGGUAGCAGGGGAUAGCAGCGGUCCCGUUAACGAUACCCAAAAGAAGAUUCACCGAACUGAGCGGUUCGACGUAGUUGUCAAAUUGUCUGAGCAAGAGAAGCGUAAUUCUAGGGCUGAGAGAUGUGGAUCUUUGACACAAAUGAUGGAGACCCUCGUCUCCUACAGUUUCAAAGUUGACGCAGUGCUCCUCCACUUUGCAUUAGGAUUAGCAGAGCUGAGAGCUGUCUCAAGGUCACAUAUCUAAGCGAGCCAAGAAAUUAAGAAUGAAGCUUCUUAAUUUCGUAUUUUCAAUUUUGGGAGGAGGAACUAAAAUUAAAGCCAGUUAUUGCAUUUGAUUGUGGUACUAGCUUCCGCUAUAUGCUCUUUUAUCAUUUAGAAACAUGAGUCUGAUUCUUAUCCAUUUUUUAGUGAUGGAAUGUAUUUUGUUAUGUCCAAGUGAUCUAAGUCUGGCUCUCCCUCUCUUUAUCUAAUACAUGGUUUCUUUUUGUUUUAUCUGUUACCUUCAAAAAUUUCCUGCCUAUCUUAAAUUCAGCAAUUGUUGCUCUUUGGAAGUUUUGAAGCUUGGGUGUCCUAAACUAACUAGUCUCUUUCUCCAGGUAUGGUUAUGGUUUCUUUUUGUUUUAUAGGUUGCUCUUUGGAAGUUUUGAAGAUUGGCUGUCCUAGAUGUUUAAUGUUUGUCCUUUUUUUUUUUUUUGUAUCGGUGUUCUGAUGCUUUUCUAUUGGGAGUGUAUUGUUGAAGAUGCUUUUGUGACUGAUUUAUUUGCAAAUGCAAGAUUUUAUACAAGGAAGCACCGUAGGCGGUGAACCUUACUGGAAUCUUGCAUAAUGCCUAACAAUGGCUUUGUCAUGUGGACUUUCUUUUUUGGCCUUAAGAAUUUCCACCUACAAAGGAAUCUGAAGGAGAUGCUGUACUAUCUAAUAAAAGAAGCAGUAGUGUACUGUAUGCUUGCAAGGAUGAAGAUAUGGAAUUUGAGUUGGACUCUAAUGGUGUGAUGGACAUUGAUGACAUGCAUGAUGGAGAUGCCGUUCUUUGACCAGUCAGAUUUAGACGUUGAAGAGCCAGCAGGAAGAGGAAUGAACAUGCUUCUAGGUUACAAAAGUGUUUUUGAAUAUGAAAAAUUGAAGAAAAUUAGUGAAUGUACUCAUGGUAUUGUUUAUAGAGCUAAGGAUAAGAAGACGGACAAAAUUAUGACUCAGAAGAAGACCACCUGAACUUUUGCUUGGACCAAAGAAGUAUUCAACAGUGGUUGACAUGUGGUCUGUGGGCUGUAUAAUGGCUGAGUUGUUAGCUAAGGAAUCAUUCUUCAAAAGGACAAGCGAAAUUGAUCAGCUUAGCAAGCGAGAAGAUCUGGGCUGGUUUUUCUGAAUUACCUGAGGCCAAAGCAAAUUAUUCUAAGCAACCGUAUAAUUUGUUGCGCAGGAAGUUACCUGCAGUAUCUUUCACAGGAUCUCCAGUUCUCUCUGAUGUUGGAUUUGACCUGUUAAACAGGCUUUUUAUAUAUGAUCCUGAGAAAGUAAAUAUCUAGAAUAACAAAUGAUGCUCUUAAUCAUGAUUGGUACCAUGAGCUUUCUCUACCAAAAUCUAAAGAAUUCUUGCCUACUUUCCCCCCAAAAAUGUGAAUGGAAUAGGUGCCUGGCCUGAUAAUGAAAGCUUGACAGAACUGAAAAACAUAUUUAGGCUGCAUUUUUAGUUUACAGUCAGCUUAGUUUUGUUCGAAUGACUCCCCGGAAUAUACAAGGAACCUUGAAGGAUCUGAAUUCGAUGCAGUAGUGGUACAAAAAAUUUCUAUCUACUGAUUGUGUUAUGGGACAGGCAGAUUGGUAAAUACAGCUGCUACAUUUGAAAUUUGUAUGUGGAUGCAAAUAGGUUUUAUGCUUGGGAUAAAUAUUAUUUAUUUAUGUUUUAU